rnacentral:rRNA from 1 species
GAUGAACGCUGGCGGCGUGCCUAAUACAUGCAAGUCGAACGCUUUGUGGUUCAACUGAUUUGAAGAGCUUGCUCAGAUAUGACGAUGGACAUUGCAAAGAGUGGCGAACGGGUGAGUAACACGUGGGAAACCUACCUCUUAGCAGGGGAUAACAUUUGGAAACAGAUGCUAAUACCGUAUAACAAUGACAACCGCAUGGUUGUUAUUUAAAAGAUGGUUCUGCUAUCACUAAGAGAUGGUCCCGCGGUGCAUUAGCUAGUUGGUAAGGUAAUGGCUUACCAAGGCGAUGAUGCAUAGCCGAGUUGAGAGACUGAUCGGCCACAAUGGGACUGAGACACGGCCCAUACUCCUACGGGAGGCAGCAGUAGGGAAUCUUCCACAAUGGGCGAAAGCCUGAUGGAGCAACGCCGCGUGUGUGAUGAAGGGUUUCGGCUCGUAAAACACUGUUGUAAGAGAAGAAUGACAUUGAGAGUAACUGUUCAAUGUGUGACGGUAUCUUACCAGAAAGGAACGGCUAAAUACGUGCCAGCAGCCGCGGUAAUACGUAUGUUCCAAGCGUUAUCCGGAUUUAUUGGGCGUAAAGCGAGCGCAGACGGUUAUUUAAGUCUGAAGUGAAAGCCCUCAGCUCAACUGAGGAAUUGCUUUGGAAACUGGAUGACUUGAGUGCAGUAGAGGAAAGUGGAACUCCAUGUGUAGCGGUGAAAUGCGUAGAUAUAUGGAAGAACACCAGUGGCGAAGGCGGCUUUCUGGACUGUAACUGACGUUGAGGCUCGAAAGUGUGGGUAGCAAACAGGAUUAGAUACCCUGGUAGUCCACACCGUAAACGAUGAGUGCUAGGUGUUUGAGGGUUUCCGCCCUUAAGUGCCGCAGCUAACGCAUUAAGCACUCCGCCUGGGGAGUACGACCGCAAGGUUGAAACUCAAAGGAAUUGACGGGGACCCGCACAAGCGGUGGAGCAUGUGGUUUAAUUCGAAGCAACGCGAAGAACCUUACCAGGUCUUGACAUCCCUUGACAACUCCAGAGAUGGAGUGUUCCCUUCGGGGACAAGGUGACAGGUGGUGCAUGGUUGUCGUCAGCUCGUGUCGUGAGAUGUUGGGUUAAGUCCCGCAACGAGCGCAACCCUUAUUACUAGUUGCUAGCAUUCAGUUGGGCACUCUAGUGAGACUGCCGGUGACAAACCGGAGGAAGGUGGGGAUGACGUCAAAUCAUCAUGCCCCUUAUGACCUGGGCUACACACGUGCUACAAUGGCGUAUACAACGAGUUGCCAACCCGCGAGGGUGAGCUAAUCUCUUAAAGUACGUCUCAGUUCGGAUUGUAGGCUGCAACUCGCCUACAUGAAGUCGGAAUCGCUAGUAAUCGCGGAUCAGCACGCCGCGGUGAAUACGUUCCCGGGUCUUGUACACACCGCCCGUCACACCAUGAGAGUUUGUAACACCCAAAGCCGGUGGGGUAACCUUCGGGAGCCAGCCGUCUAAGGUGGGACAGAUGAUUAGGGUG